rnacentral:rRNA from 1 species
GAUGAACGCUGGCGGCGUGCCUAAUACAUGCAAGUCGAGCGAACAGACGAGGAGCUUGCUCCUCUGACGUUAGCGGCGGACGGGUGAGUAACACGUGGAUAACCUACCUAUAAGACUGGGAUAACUUCGGGAAACCGGAGCUAAUACCGGAUAAUAUAUUGAACCGCAUGGUUCAAUAGUGAAAGACGGUUUUGCUGUCACUUAUAGAUGGAUCCGCGCCGCAUUAGCUAGUUGGUAAGGUAACGGCUUACCAAGGCAACGAUGCGUAGCCGACCUGAGAGGGUGAUCGGCCACCCUGGAACUGAGACACGGUCCAGACUCCUAAGGGAGGCAGCAGUAGGGAAUCUUCCGCAAUGGGCGAAAGCCUGACGGAGCAACGCCGCGUGAGUGAUGAAGGUCUUCGGAUCGUAAAACUCUGUUAUUAGGGAAGAACAAAUGUGUAAGUAACUAUGCACGUCUUGACGGUACCUAAUCAGAAAGCCACGGCUAACUACGUG